CGGGGUGAGUAAUGUCUGGGAAACGGCCUGAUGGAGGGGGAUAACUACUGGAAACGGUAGCUAAUACCGCAUAACGUCGCAAGACCAAAGAGGGGGACCUUCGGGCCUCUUGCCAUCGGAUGUGCCCAGAUGGGAUUAGCUAGUAGGUGGGGUAAUGGCUCACCUAGGCGACGAUCCCUAGCUGGUCUGAGAGGAUGACCAGCCACACUGGAACUGAGACACGGUCCAG
rnacentral:rRNA from 1 species